rnacentral:rRNA from 1 species
UGGCGGCGUGCCUAAUACAUGCAAGUAGAACGCUGAAGAGAGGAGCUUGCUCUUCUUGGAUGAGUUGCGAACGGGUGAGUAACGCGUAGGUAACCUGCCUUGUAGCGGGGGAUAACUAUUGGAAACGAUAGCUAAUACCGCAUAACAAUGGAUGACUCAUGUCAUUUAUUUGAAAGGGGCAAAUGCUCCACUACAAGAUGGACCUGCGUUGUAUUAGCUAGUAGGUGAGGUAACGGCUCACCUAGGCGACGAUACAUAGCCGACCUGAGAGGGUGAUCGGCCACACUGGGACUGAGACACGGCCCAGACUCCUACGGGAGGCAGCAGUAGGGAAUCUUCGGCAAUGGGGGCAACCCUGACCGAGCAACGCCGCGUGAGUGAAGAAGGUUUUCGGAUCGUAAAGCUCUGUUGUAAGUCAAGAACGAGUGUGAGAGUGGAAAGUUCACACUGUGACGGUAGCUUACCAGAAAGGGACGGCUAACUACGUGCCAGCAGCCGCGGUAAUACGUAGGUCCCGAGCGUUGUCCGGAUUUAUUGGGCGUAAAGCGAGCGCAGGCGGUUUGAUAAGUCUGAAGUUAAAGGCUGUGGCUCAACCAUAGUUCGCUUUGGAAACUGUCAAACUUGAGUGCAGAAGGGGAGAGUGGAAUUCCAUGUGUAGCGGUGAAAUGCGUAGAUAUAUGGAGGAACACCGGUGGCGAAAGCGGCUCUCUGGUCUGUAACUGACGCUGAGGCUCGAAAGCGUGGGGAGCGAACAGGAUUAGAUACCCUGGUAGUCCACGCCGUAAACGAUGAGUGCUAGGUGUUGGAUCCUUUCCGGGAUUCAGUGCCGCAGCUAACGCAUUAAGCACUCCGCCUGGGGAGUACGACCGCAAGGUUGAA